UGGGGAAUCUUGCGCAAUGGGCGAAAGCCUGACGCAGCGACGCCGCGUGGGGGAGGAAGCUCUUCGGAGUGUAAACCCCUGUCAGAGGGGAAGAAUGGCCACUCGAGGAAAUGCGGGUGGUUUGACGGUACCCUCAGAGGGAGCACCGGCUAACUCUGUG
rnacentral:rRNA from 1 species